UUCUGUAGAUUUUUUAUUGAGUGAAAUUACCCAUGAUUUUUUGUAUCAUGAAAGGAACUAUAAUGUCCAAGCGGAUAUAAAAUUUGUGGAAAUUAUAAGCAGCGCAAGAUAAUAUAAUUUUGAUUGAAGGUGUUGAAUUAAGGAUAUUUUUUUGUCAGAAAACUGUCAAAUUGCGUGCUUUUUGAAUGGGGAAAUUCGCACUCGUAAUUGAGAGGAUGAACAAUGUAAUUCACGAUGUCGUGGAAACGCCGCAUUAAACACAAAUGAAAUAAUACCGUUGAAUAUAUUAAAGAUCUUGGAGAGAUGCGAUAAUGAUUUCCAAUAGAAACCACCGAAAUAUAAAAAAAAACUGCUUCACCCAACAAUUUCGGCAAAUUUAGCUCAGCCCGAUUUCCAAACUUGAAGUAAUGGUUGAUUGGUAAGAGUUCCGGAUCUAACAAAGUGGUCAUUGGCUUGAGUUUGAUAGAACAACAAAAACGAAAUUUCAGUUUUGCGAAUGCUUUUCAGAAGUUAUUAUGAAUUUUAUGCUUGCUGGGUAGUUAAUAUUCAGAUAAUAAAUGAACGGAAAG